rnacentral:rRNA from 1 species
UCAUCUUCGGGGGUAGAGCACUGUUUCGGCUAGGGGGUCAUCCCGACUUACCAACCCGAUGCAAACUGCGAAUACCGAAGAAUGUUAUCACGGGAGACACACGGCGGGUGCUAACGUCCGUCGUGAAGAGGGAAACAACCCAGACCGCCAGCUAAGGUCCCAAAGUCAUGGUUAAGUGGGAAACGAUGUGGGAAGGCACAGACAGCCAGGAUGUUGGCUUAGAAGCAGCCAUCAUUUAAAGAAAGCGUAAUAGCUCACUGGUCGAGUCGGCCUGCGCGGAAGAUGUAACGGGGCUAAACCAUGCACCGAAGCUGCGGCAGCGACACUAUGUGUUGUUGGGUAGGGGAGCGUUCUGUAAGCCGUUGAAGGUGUAUCGUGAGGUAUGCUGGAGGUAUCAGAAGUGCGAAUGCUGACAUAAGUAACGAUAAUGCGGGUGAAAAACCCGCACGCCGGAAGACCAAGGGUUCCUGUCCAACGUUAAUCGGGGCAGGGUGAGUCGACCCCUAAGGCGAGGCCGAAAGGCGUAGUCGAUGGGAAACAGGUUAAUAUUCCUGUACUUGGUGUUACUGCGAAGGGGGGACGGAGAAGGCUAUGUUAGCCGGGCGACGGUUGUCCCGGUUUAAGCAUGUAGGCGGAGGUUCCAGGUAAAUCCGGUACCUUUUUAACGCUGAGGUGUGAUGACGAGGCACUACGGUGCUGAAGUAACAAAUGCCCUGCUUCCAGGAAAAGCCUCUAAGCAUCAGGUAACACGAAAUCGUACCCCAAACCGACACAGGUGGUCAGGUAGAGAAUACCAAGGCGCUUGAGAGAACUCGGGUGAAGGAACUAGGCAAAAUGGUGCCGUAACUUCGGGAGAAGGCACGCUGAUAUGUAGGUGAAGUGAUUUACUCAUGGAGCUGAAAUCAGUCGAAGAUACCAGCUGGCUGCAACUGUUUAUUAAAAACACAGCACUGUGCAAACACGAAAGUGGACGUAUACGGUGUGACGCCUGCCCGGUGCCGGAAGGUUAAUUGAUGGGGUUAUCCGUAAGGAGAAGCUCUUGAUCGAAGCCCCGGUAAACGGCGGCCGUAACUAUAACGGUCCUAAGGUAGCGAAAUUCCUUGUCGGGUAAGUUCCGACCUGCACGAAUGGCGUAAUGAUGGCCAGGCUGUCUCCACCCGAGACUCAGUGAAAUUGAACUCGCUGUGAAGAUGCAGUGUACCCGCGGCAAGACGGAAAGACCCCGUGAACCUUUACUAUAGCUUGACACUGAACACUGGUCCUUGAUGUGUAGGAUAGGUGGGAGGCUUUGAAGUGUGGACGCCAGUCUGCAUGGAGCCAUCCUUGAAAUACCACCCUUUAAUGGCUGGUGUUCUAACGUGGACCCGUAAUCCGGGUUGCGGACAGUGUCUGGUGGGUAGUUUGACUGGGGCGGUCUCCUCCUAAAGAGUAACGGAGGAGCACGAAGG